GCGAACGCUGGCGGCAGGCCUAAUACAUGCAAGUCGAACGGCUUCUUCGGAAGCAGUGGCGGACGGGUGAGUAACGCGUGGGAACGUGCCCUUUGGUACGGAACAACUGAGGGAAACUUCAGCUAAUACCGUAUGUGCCCUUCGGGGGAAAGAUUUAUCGCCAUUGGAGCGGCCCGCGUUAGAUUAGCUAGUUGGUGGGGUAAAGGCCUACCAAGGCAACGAUCUAUAUCUGGUCUGAGAGGAUGAUCAGCCACACUGGGACUGAGACACGGCCCAGACUCCUACGGGAGGCAGCAGUAGGGAAUCUUGCGCAAUGGGCGAAAGCCUGACGCAGCCAUGCCGCGUGAAUGAUGAAGGUCUUAGGAUUGUAAAAUUCUUUCACCGGGGACGAUAAUGACGGUACCCGGAGAAGAAGCUCCGGCUAACUUCGUGCCAGCCGCCGCCGUAA
rnacentral:rRNA from 1 species